rnacentral:lncRNA from 1 species
UCGACACAAACAAUGUAAACUGCUGCUAGAUAUGAACUUAAAAACUCCUAGCUCAUAUGAAUUUUCUUUAUGCUCAUUCUGUCUGUGUUAGUUUAGCUAGGAUAUUAAUUUGCAAAAAAGAAAAGAAAAAAAAAAGAAGAAAGAAUAUAUGACAGUGCUAGGUCACAAAUUGGUCUCCACAUUUGUGUACUUUUCUUUCUAAACCAGAAAACGGUUCCCACACACACACGUAGCAUAAGCAUACCUGCAAGUCAUAUGCAAAGUCCCUGAAACUCUGACUCUCUGGCAGUAACAACCACGCUGUUGUUUUCUUCAAGAAACGGCCACUGCUAUGUGCUGUGCAGAGAAACAAGGCUGCUGGGCCCAGUGACAAAACUUAGGAACAGUUGAAAGUACUUCCAGGAACCUGCUCCCGGCAUCAAUCAAUGUAGGCCAUGCAAGUACCUAACGCAGAUUCAUCACGCAUCCUGUGCCUCCAAAGUUGGUGCAAUAUCGCACAUCCCCUUUGACCUGAUCGGCAUCCAUGCACGUGUGUUAGCUAGGGAAAUAAGCCCCAGGCUGUACAGAAGGCAACAUGUCACACACGUUCUCUCGCCUUGGCCAUUAGAUGAGCCAUCGAAAAGUUUCAGUAAGGUGAGAAAAGUCACCUAAUUCAGCAUGAUUCUACGAUAAGACACAACAAUAAUGUCCUAAUGAUCUUAGACAUUACCCUUCAUCUAGAAAACCUGUAUUUCUUUUAAGGCACCACGCUGCUGUAGCGGCAUACUUUUAUCCACAAAGGCGUGGGAUACGAAUCCCUGUUCCCAUGAUGACCAAUAUAAAAAAACAUCCCUGCAUACAGUGUUAGCGUUAAUCAAUACCUUCUUACCUGUAACGAUACUUAUGUAUAACAAAAGUACCGGUAUUAAUUAGGAAGCAAACCUCUCGCUUUUGGUUACGCCAUUUUGUGUACUUUGGCAGCUUGGUUUCACAUAUGAUAUAUGAUGUAUUGCCAUGUGUAUGGAGAGGUUCCUAGAGACUUACGGUUUGUUAGGGGUGGG